UGUGGGAGCUGGCUUGCCUGCGAUGCAGGCACUGCGGUGUAUCAGGGGGACCGAGGCGAUGCCAUCGCAGGCAAGCCAGCUCCCACA
rnacentral:misc_RNA from 1 species